rnacentral:rRNA from 1 species
CCUACGGGAGGCAGCAGUAAGGAAUAUUGGUCAAUGGACGAAAGUCUGAACCAGCCAUGCCGCGUGAAGGAUGAAGGCCCUCUGGGUUGUAAACUUCUUUUAUCUGGGACGAAAAAAGGGUAUUCUUACCCACUUGACGGUACCAGAGGAAUAAGCACCGGCUAACUCCGUGCCAGCAGCCGCGGUAAUACGGAGGGUGCAAGCGUUAUCCGGAUUCACUGGGUUUAAAGGGAGCGUAGGUGGGCUGAUAAGUCAGUGGUGAAAUCUCCGGGCUUAACCCGGAAACUGCCAUUGAUACUAUUAGUCUUGAAUUAUCUGGAGGUAAGCGGAAUAUGUCAUGUAGCGGUGAAAUGCUUAGAUAUGACAUAGAACACCAAUUGCGAAGGCAGCUUGCUACGGAUUGAUUGACACUGAGGCUCGAAAGCGUGGGGAUCAAACAGGAUUAGAUACCCUGGUAGUCCACGCCCUAAACGAUGGAUACUCGACAUCAGCGAUACACUGUUGGUGUCUGAGCGAAAGCAUUAAGUAUCCCACCUGGAAGUACGACCGCAAGGUUGAACUUAAANGAAUUGACGG